GACGAACGCUGGCGGCGUGCCUAAUACAUGCAAGUUGAGCGAUGAAGAUUGGUGCUUGCACCAAUUUGAAGAGCAGCGAACGGGUGAGUAACGCGUGGGGAAUCUGCCUUUGAGCGGGGGACAACAUUUGGAAACGAAUGCUAAUACCGCAUAAUAACUUUAAACAUAAGUUUUAAGUUUGAAAGAUGCAAUUGCAUCACUCAAAGAUGAUCCCGCGUUGUAUUAGCUAGUUGGUGAGGUAAAGGCUCACCAAGGCGAUGAUACAUAGCCGACCUGAGAGGGUGAUCGGCCACAUUGGGACGGGGACACGGCCCAAACUCCUACGGGAGGCAGCAGUAGGGGAUCUUCGGCGAUGGACGAAAGUCUGACCGAGCAACGCCGCGUGAGUGAAGAAGGUUUUCGGAUCGUAAAACUCUGUUGGUAGAGAAGAACGUUGGUGAGAGUGGAAAGCUCAUCAAGUGACGGUAACUACCCAGAAAGGGACGGCUAACUACGUG
rnacentral:rRNA from 1 species